rnacentral:rRNA from 1 species
CUGAUACAGGGAGGUAGUGACAAAAAAUAACAAUGCCGGGCUUUUUUAAGUCUGGCAAUUGGAAUGAGAACAAUUUAAAUCCCUUAUCGAGGAUCAAUUGGAGGGCAAGUCUGGUGCCAGCAGCCGCGGUAAUUCCAGCUCCAAUAGCGUAUAUUAAUGUUGUUGCAGUUAAAAAGCUCGUAGUUGGAUUUCUGAUGGGAUCGACCCGGUCGGCUCCGAAAGGGGUCGCACUGGUGGUCUGUCCGGUCAUCCUCGAGGGGAGGCUUUCUGGCAUUCAUUUGUUGGGGAGUCGACGCUCGUCGUUUACUGUGAACAAAUUAGAGUGUUCAAAGCAGGCUUAGGCCGUUGAAUACAUUAGCAUGGAAUAAUAAGAUAGGACUUUGGUGGUUUAUUUUGUUGGUUUGCACGCCGAAGUAAUGAUUAAUAGGAGCAGUUGGGGAUGUCCGUAUUCGAUUGUCAGAGGUGAAAUUCUUGGAUUUAUUGAAGACGAACUACUGCGAAAGCAUUCAUCAA